AUUCGCCCUUAGAGUUUGAUCCUGGCUCAGGAUGAACGCUAGCUACAGGCUUAACACAUGCAAGUCGAGGGGAAACGACAUCGAAAGCUUGCUUUUGAUGGGCGUCGACCGGCGCACGGGUGAGUAACGCGUAUCCAACCUGCCCAUCACUUGGGGAUAACCUUGCGAAAGUAAGACUAAUACCCAAUGACGUCUCUAGAAGACAUCUGAAAGAGAUUAAAGAUUUAUCGGUGAUGGAUGGGGAUGCGUCUGAUUAGCUUGUUGGCGGGGUAACGGCCCACCAAGGCGACGAUCAGUAGGGGUUCUGAGAGGAAGGUCCCCCACAUUGGAACUGAGACACGGUCCAAACUCCUACGGGAGGCAGCAGUGAGGAAUAUUGGUCAAUGGGCGAGAGCCUGAACCAGCCAAGUAGCGUGCAGGAUGACGGCCCUAUGGGUUGUAAACUGCUUUUAUAAGGGAAUAAAGUGAGUCUCGUGAGGCUUUUUGCAUGUACCUUAUGAAUAAGGACCGGCUAAUUCCGUGCCAGCAGCCGCGGUAAUACGGAAGGUCCGGGCGUUAUCCGGAUUUAUUGGGUUUAAAGGGAGCGUAGGCCGGAGAUUAAGCGUGUUGUGAAAUGUAGACGCUCAACGUCUGCACUGCAGCGCGAACUGGUUUCCUUGAGUACGCACAAAGUGGGCGGAAUUCGUGGUGUAGCGGUGAAAUGCUUAGAUAUCACGAAGAACUCCGAUUGCGAAGGCAGCUCACUGGAGCGCAACUGACGCUGAAGCUCGAAAGUGCGGGUAUCGAACAGGAUUAGAUACCCUGGUAGUCCGCACGGUAAACGAUGGAUGCCCGCUGUUGGUCUGAAUAGGUCAGCGGCCAAGCGAAAGCAUUAAGCAUCCCACCUGGGGAGUACGCCGGCA
rnacentral:rRNA from 1 species